rnacentral:lncRNA from 1 species
AGAAGAAGGGGGCGUGGCAUCGAGCGGAGUCCUUCGGAUUCUUUUCCCAUAUGGGUUAUUACAGAAUAUUGAGGACAGUUCCCUGUUCUAUACAGGCAUCAUGGCUGUGAUGCUGAUCGUGCCUUUGUCCAGGAACAUGGGACAGGUGGAAUCGCUGAGAAUGAAAGGCAAAGACUGUUCCAGACCCAAAGCUGUAUGUGAUCAUAUAAUCUACAAAUAAUGACUUUUGGAGGGGAUCUCAUUUACCAGAUGGGCGAACGUGGU